rnacentral:rRNA from 1 species
CAAGUCGAGGGGUAUAGUUCUUCGGAACUAGAGACCGGCGCACGGGUGCGUAACGCGUAUGCAAUCUACCUUUCACAGAGGGAUAGCCCAGAGAAAUUUGGAUUAAUACCUCAUAGUAUAAUGAGUUGGCAUCAACACAUUAUUAAAGUCACAACGGUGAAAGAUGAGCAUGCGUCCCAUUAGCUAGAUGGUAAGGUAACGGCUUACCAUGGCUACGAUGGGUAGGGGUCCUGAGAGGGAGAUCCCCCACACUGGUACUGAGACACGGACCAGACUCCUACGGGAGGCAGCAGUGAGGAAUAUUGGACAAUGGGCGCAAGCCUGAUCCAGCCAUGCCGCGUGCAGGAUGACGGUCCUAUGGAUUGUAAACUGCUUUUGUACAGGAAGAAACACUGGUUCGUGAACCAGCUUGACGGUACUGUAAGAAUAAGGAUCGGCUAACUCCGUGCCAGCAGCCGCGGUAAUACGGAGGAUCCAAGCGUUAUCCGGAAUCAUUGGGUUUAAAGGGUCCGUAGGCGGUUUAGUAAGUCAGUGGUGAAAGCCCAUCGCUCAACGGUGGAACGGCCAUUGAUACUGCUAAACUUGAAUUAUUAGGAAGUAACUAGAAUAUGUAGUGUAGCGGUGAAAUGCUUAGAGAUUACAUGGAAUACCAAUUGCGAAGGCAGGUUACUACUAAUGGAUUGACGCUGAUGGACGAAAGCGUGGGCAGCGAACAGGAUUAGAUACCCUGGUAGUCCACGCCGUAAACGAUGGAUACUAGCUGUUGGAAGCAAUUUCAGUGGCUAAGCGAAAGUGAUAAGUAUCCCACCUGGGGAGUACGUUCGCAAGAAUGAAACUCAAAGGAAUUGACGG